rnacentral:tRNA from 1 species
UGGAGUGUGGCUCAGUGGUAGAGCACUUGCCUAGCAUGCAUGAGCACCUGGGUUCAAUCUCUAGUACUGAAA